CUUUCGGGGCAGGGCGCGGUGUCGGCGCAGCGGCGGGCAUACACGAGGAAAGUCCGGGCUUCACAGGGCAGGAUGCCAGAUAACGUCUGGUGGGGGCGACCCUAAGGACAGUGCAACAGAAAUAUACCGCCGCACCCUUGGCGGGCGAGUGCCUCCGCACUGUGCGGACCCCGGCUGUGUGCCGGGGCGAGGCAGGGCGCCGGGGCGCAUCUUCCCGUCGGUGCGGUAAGGGUGGAAUGGCAGUGUAAGAGACUACCGCCUGGCUGGUAACAGGCAGGGCACAUGUAAACCCCAUCCGAAGCAAGGCCAAACAGGGGGCUUAGGGCGGCCCGUCUGCCCCCGGGUAGGCCGCUUGACCCCGUCGGUGACGGCGGGGCUAGACAGAUGACCAUUCGCGACAGAACCCGGCUUAUCGUCUUUUGGGGCGC
rnacentral:RNase_P_RNA from 1 species